CUUCUUCUUCUUCUCCUCUGUUGUUCUUCUCUUCUGGCAAUUCAGAGAGGAAAUCUCUGUUGAGAAAACCUUACGGAAAAUUAGUGAAACCAAUCAAUCGAGUGUGGCGUUGAUGAUUUCACACUUUGGUUUUGAUUAGAAUCCUCGAUAGAGUUGAAGAGAAGUGUUUCUGUGAAAGUUAGGGUUUAAGUUUGAUGUUGAGUUUAAUUGAAUAUUGAUAAGUUAAUCGGGAUGUUAACGGAUGAAGAUUAAGAGAGUUGAUGUCUAAUUGAACCUGUAGAAUUAUUUUGAUGUUGAAUCAAGAGGUAGGGUUUCUGGGAGAAAUUCAAAGAAUAAUUCGAAGAUUAAAUUGAGAGUUUAAAGGGAAGAUUUGAGAUGGGUUUUGAUCAGAUGUGAAGUGGUUCUAUUAAAAGAUCAGUGAGUUAGGGUUCUAAAGAGGAUUGAGAAAUAAAUUGGGUUUUAUGGUGUGGAUUGAAAUUGAACUGGAGUGGCAGAGAAGAUGGAUUAGUUUUAAGAGGUUGGACAUGUAUUGAGGUAAUUGUUCUUUUUUGUUAUUUUUUUGUUAAGUUAUGCAGUUAUGUUGAAACAAUAGUAUCUCUGGAAUUAUCCGAGUUUAAAUGGUAGGUGUUAUGAAUUGAUCUCAGUGAAUGAGAGGUUGCAGAGAGAGUGUAUGUUAUUUGAGUUGAGAUGUUGCGGUUGAAUUAUGGAAAUCACACGGCUGAGUAUAAAAUGGAUAAGUUGUAUGUUAAUUGCAGUCAUAGUGUAAUGGUUUUUGUGGUGCAAUGCAAGGAGUUGUUGGGAAGCGAACUAAUCAUGGAAGAGUGUUAUGGUUCAAAUAGAGACUGCGUAGUUCAGAUUGUAAGAGUAACUGCAGGUGCAAGUGGAUGGGGAUGCGGGUAAUGGAUUAGUAGAAUGAAUGGAUGAAGGUAUUGCCUGAGAUGAAAUUUGUGAAUACAGAUGUUGUGGUGAUUCUAAAUGAAUCGCAGGCUUAGAUGAAUGGAUUAAGGGUAUGUGAGAUAGAGAAAGGAAUUGAAGGUGACUGUAGUUGAGUUUGGUGUUGAUUGUUGUUAGGGUUUGCUGUAAAGCUUGGAACUGCUGAACUGCAGGUAGGCUAUAGUUGUAUUUGUAAUUUUUUUAUGAAGUUUACGUUGAGAAUUGUAUUGUUGUGGAUGUUUAGAAAAAGAGUUAAAAUGAAGUCUGUAAUAGGAUUUUAGACUGUCAA